rnacentral:rRNA from 1 species
UACGUAGGGGGCAAGCGUUGUCCGGAAUCAUUGGGCGUAAAGCGCGCGUAGGCGGCCCUGUAAGUCCGCUGUGAAAGUCAAAGGCUCAACCUUUGAAAGCCGGUGGAUACUGCAGGGCUAGAGUCCGGAAGAGGCGAGUGGAAUUCUUGGUGUAGCGGUGGAAUGCGCAGAUAUCAGGAGGAACACCAAUAGCGAAGGCAGCUCGCUGGGACGGUAUUGACGCUAAGGCGCGAAAGCGUGGGGAGCAAACAGG